rnacentral:rRNA from 2 species
UGCAAGUCGAACGGUGAACACGGAGCUUGCUCUGUGGGAUCAGUGGCGAACGGGUGAGUAACACGUGAGCAACCUACCCCUGACUCUGGGAUAAGCGCUGGAAACGGCGUCUAAUACUGGAUACGAGUGGCGACCGCAUGGUCAGCUACUGGAAAGAUUUAUUGGUUGGGGAUGGGCUCGCGGCCUAUCAGCUUGUUGGUGAGGUAAUGGCUCACCAAGGCGUCGACGGGUAGCCGGCCUGAGAGGGUGACCGGCCACACUGGGACUGAGACACGGCCCAGACUCCUACGGGAGGCAGCAGUGGGGAAUAUUGCACAAUGGGCGCAAGCCUGAUGCAGCAACGCCGCGUGAGGGAUGACGGCCUUCGGGUUGUAAACCUCUUUUAGCAGGGAAGAAGCGAAAGUGACGGUACCUGCAGAAAAAGCGCCGGCUAACUACGUGCCAGCAGCCGCGGUAAUACGUAGGGCGCAAGCGUUAUCCGGAAUUAUUGGGCGUAAAGAGCUCGUAGGCGGUUUGUCGCGUCUGCUGUGAAAUCCGGAGGCUCAACCUCCGGCCUGCAGUGGGUACGGGCAGACUAGAGUGCGGUAGGGGAGAUUGGAAUUCCUGGUGUAGCGGUGGAAUGCGCAGAUAUCAGGAGGAACACCGAUGGCGAAGGCAGAUCUCUGGGCCGUAACUGACGCUGAGGAGCGAAAGGGUGGGGAGCAAACAGGCUUAGAUA